rnacentral:rRNA from 1 species
UACAGAGGUCUCAAGCGUUGUUCGGAUUCAUUGGGCGUAAAGGGCGCGUAGGCGGCAAGGCAAGUCGGGUGUGAAAGCUUGGGGCUUAACCCCGAAAGGGCACUCGAAACUGCAUUGCUAGAGGGCCGGAGAGGAGAUCGGAAUUCACGGUGUAGCAGUGAAAUGCGUAGAGCUCGUGAGGAAGACCGGUGGCGAAGGCGGAUCUCUGGACGGCCCCUGACGCUGAGGCGCGAAGGCUAGGGGAGCAAACGGG